rnacentral:rRNA from 1 species
CCCGCACAAGCGGUGGAGCAUGUGGUUUAAUUCGAUGCAACGCGAAGAACCUUACCUGGGCUUGACAUCCCGGGAAUCCCUUGGAAACAAGGGAGUGCCCUUCGGGGAACCUGGAGACAGGUGCUGCAUGGCUGUCGUCAGCUCGUGUCGUGAGAUGUAGGGUUAAGUCCCGCAACGAGCGCAACCCUUGUCUUUAAUUGCCAUCAUUGAGUUGGGCACUUUAAAGAGACUGCCGGUGUUAAACCGGAGGAAGGUGGGGAUGACGUCAAGUCCUCAUGGCCCUUAUGGGUAGGGCUUCACACGUCAUACAAUGGUCGGUACAGAGGGUUGCCAACCCGCGAGGGGGAGCUAAUCCCACAAGGCCGAUCGUAGUCCGGAUCGCAGUCUGCAACUCGACUGCGUGAAGUCGGAAUCGCUAGUAAUCGUGGAUCAGCAUGUCACGGUGAAUACGUUCCCGGGUCUU